UACGUAGGGUGCGAGCGUUAAUCGGAAUUACUGGGCGUAAAGCGUGCGCAGGCGGUUGUGUAAGACAGAUGUGAAAUCCCCGGGCUCAACCUGGGAACUGCAUUUGUGACUGCACAGCUGGAGUGCGGCAGAGGGGGAUGGAAUUCCGCGUGUAGCAGUGAAAUGCGUAGAUAUGCGGAGGAACAUCGAUGGCGAAGGCAAUCCCCUGGGCCUGCACUGACGCUCAUGCACGAAAGCGUGGGGAGCAAACAGG
rnacentral:rRNA from 1 species